UAGGGAAUCUUCCGCAAUGGGCGAAAGCUUGACGGAGCAACGCCGCGUGAGUGAUGAAGGUCUUCGGAUCGUAAAACUCUGUUAUUAGGGAAGAACAAAUGUGUAAGUAACUAUGCACGUCUUGACGGUACCUAAUCAGAAAGCCACGGCUAACUACGUGCCAGCAGCCGCGGUAAUACGUAGGUGGCAAGCGUUAUCCGGAAUUAUUGGGCGUAAAGCGCGCGUAGGCGGUUUUUUAAGUCUGAUGUGAAAGCCCACGGCUCAACCGUGGAGGGUCAUUGGAAACUGGAAAACUUGAGUGCAGAAGAGGAAAGUGGAAUUCCAUGUGUAGCGGUGAAAUGCGCAGAGAUAUGGCGGAACACCAGUGGCGAAGGCGGCUUUCUGGUCUGUAACUGACGCUGAUGUGCGAAAGCGUGGGGAUCAAACAGG
rnacentral:rRNA from 1 species